rnacentral:rRNA from 1 species
CCCGCGGUGCAUUAGCUAGUUGGUGAGGUAACGGCUCACCAAGGCCACGAUGCAUAGCCGACCUGAGAGGGUGAUCGGCCACACUGGGACUGAGACACGGCCCAGACUCCUACGGGAGGCAGCAGUAGGGAAUCUUCGGCAAUGGACGAAAGUCUGACCGAGCAACGCCGCGUGAGUGAAGAAGGUUUUCGGAUCGUAAAACUCUGUUGUUAGAGAAGAACAAGGAUGAGAGUAAAAUGUUCAUCCCUUGACGGUAUCUAACCAGAAAGCCACGGCUAACUACGUGCCAGCAGCCGCGGUAAUACGUAGGUGGCAAGCGUUGUCCGGAUUUAUUGGGCGUAAAGCGAGCGCAGGCGGUUUCUUAAGUCUGAUGUGAAAGCCCCCGGCUCAACCGGGGAGGGUCAUUGGAAACUGGGAGACUUGAGUGCAGAAGAGGAGAGUGGAAUUCCAUGUGUAGCGGUGAAAUGCGUAGAUAUAUGGAGGAACACCAGUGGCGAAGGCGGCUCUCUGGUCUGUAACUGACGCUGAGGCUCGAAAGCGUGGGGAGCGAACAGGAUUAGAUACCCUGGUAGUCCACGCCGUAAACGAUGAGUGCUAAGUGUUGGAGGGUUUCCGCCCUUCA